AGCCCCCUGCGCCCCCCUCUCGGGAGCUGAAUAGGCUGCGUUCCGCUUGGAACGCGCCGCAGAACCAGAGUCCUGGUGACGACUGCCGCGUCCGCUCCCUCAGUCCACUCGCCAACCCGCGGUCCUCCACCGCUGCACCCCGCCAACCCACCCCUCUCUUGUGCCAGGAACCGACAGGCACCAUGCCCUACCAAUACCCAGCACUGACCCCGGAGCAGAAGAAGGAGCUCUCUGACAUUGCUCACCGCAUCGUGGCUCUGGGCAAGGGCAUCCUGGCUGCAGAUGAGCCCACCGGGUGCAUUGCCAAGCGACUGCAGUCCAUCGGCACUGAGAACACCGAGGAGAACCGGUGCUUCUACCGCCAGCUGCUGCUGACAGCUGACGACCGCGUGAACCCCUGCAUUGGUGGCGUCAUCCUCUUCCAUGAGACACUCUACCAGAAGGCAGAUGAUGGGCGUCCCUUCCCCCAAGUUAUCAAAGCCAAGGGUGGUGUUGUGGGCAUCAAGGUAGACAAGGGUGUGGUACCCCUGGCAGGAACAAAUGGCGAGUUGACCACCCAAGGGCUGGAUAGGCUGUCUGAGCGCUGUGCCCAGUACAAGAAGGACGGAGCUGACUUUGCCAAGUGGCGCUGUGUGCUGAAGAUCGGGGAGCACACCCCCUCCUCCCUCGCCAUCAUGGAAAACGCCAAUGUCCUGGCCCGUUAUGCCAGCAUCUGCCAACAGAAUGGCAUUGUGCCCAUCGUGGAGCCCGAGAUCCUCCCUGAUGGGGACCAUGAUUUGAAAUGCUGUCAGUAUGUAACUGAGAAGGUGCUGGCUACUGUCUACAAGGCUCUGAGUGACCACCACAUCUACCUGGAAGGCACCUUGCUGAAGCCCAAUAUGGUAACCCUAGGCCACGCCUGCACCCACAAAUAUUCUCAUGAGGAGAUUGCCAUGGCAACUGUCACGGUACUGCGCCGCACAGUGCCGCCCGCUGUCCCUGGGAUCACCUUCUUAUCUGGAGGCCAGAGUGAGGAGGAGGCAUCCAUCAACCUCAACGCCAUCAACAAGUGCCCCCUGCUGAAGCCGUGGGCUCUGACCUUCUCCUAUGGCCGAGCCCUGCAGGCCUCUGCCCUGAAGACCUGGGGGGGAAAGAAGGAGAACCUGAAGCCUGCUCAGGAAGAAUACGUCAAGCGGGCCCUGGCCAACAGCCUCGCCUGCCAAGGAAAGUACACCCCGAGUGGUAAGGCAGGGGCUGCAGCCAGCGAGUCCCUCUUCAUCUUUGGACACUGAUGACGCCGUGAGGGC